rnacentral:rRNA from 1 species
AGAAUCAACGCUGGCGGCGUGCCUAACACAUGCAAGUCGAACGCGACUUGGGACUUCGGUUCCAAGUUGAGUGGCGAACGGGUGAGUAACACGUGGGUGAUCUACCUUCGAGUGGGGGAUAACGUUCCGAAAGGACGCUACUACCGCAUGACGUUCCGGAUUUAAAGAGCUGGAAACCAAAGCCGGGGACCGCAAGGCCUGGCGCUUGAAGAGGAGCCCGCGUCCGAUUAGCUAGUUGGCGGGUAAUGGCCCACAAGGCGACGAUCGGUA